GGGAAGAGCUCAAAUUUAUAAUCUGGCACCUUCGGUGUCCGAGUUGUAAUCUCUAGAAAUGUUUUCCGCGUUGGACCGCACACAAGUCUGUUGGAAUACAGCGGCAUAGUGGUGAGACCCCCGUAUAUGGUGCGGACGCCCAGCGCUUUGUGAUACAUUUUCGAAGAGUCGAGUUGUUUGGGAAUGCAGCUCAAAUUGGGUGGUAAAUUCCAUCUAAAGCUAAAUAUUGGCGAGAGACCGAUAGCGAACAAGUACCGUGAGGGAAAGAUGAAAAGCACUUUGGAAAGAGAGUUAACAGUACGUGAAAUUGUUGGAAGGGAAACGCUUGAAGUCAGACUUGCUUGCCGAGCAAUCGGUUUGCAGGCCAGCAUCAGUUUUCCGGGAUGGAUAAUGGUAGAGAGAAGGUACCAGUUUCGGCUGUGUUAUAGUUCUCUGCUGGAUACAUCUUGGGGGACUGAGGAACGCGAGUGUG
rnacentral:rRNA from 1 species